GACAGCCUACGGGAGGCAGCAGUAGGGAAUUUUCCACAAUGGACGAAAGUCUGAUGGAGCAACGCCGCGUGAACGAUGAAGGUCUUCGGAUUGUAAAGUUCUGUUGUUAGGGACGAAUAAGUACCGUUCGAAUAGGGCGGUACCUUGACGGUACCUGACGAGAAAGCCACGGCUAACUACGUGCCAGCAGCCGCGGUAAUACGUAGGUGGCAAGCGUUGUCCGGAUUUAUUGGGCGUAAAGCGCGCGCAGGCGGCUAUGUAAGUCUGGUGUUAAAGCCCGGGGCUCAACCCCGGUUCGCAUCGGAAACUGUGUAGCUUGAGUGCAGAAGAGGAAAGCGGUAUUCCACGUGUAGCGGUGAAAUGCGUAGAGAUGUGGAGGAACACCAGUGGCGAAGGCGGCUUUCUGGUCUGUAACUGACGCUGAGGCGCGAAAGCGUGGGGGAGGCCAAAAU
rnacentral:rRNA from 1 species